UGAUACCGCCCAAGAGUUCAUAUCGACGGCGGUGUUUGGCACCUCGAUGUCGGCUCAUCACAUCCUGGGGCUGAAGUAGGUCCCAAGGGUAUGGCUGUUCGCCAUUUAAAGUGGUACGCGAGCUGGGUUUAGAACGUCGUGAGACAGUUCGGUCCCUAUCUGCCGUGGGCGCUGGAGAAUUGAGGGGGGCUGCUCCUAGUACGAGAGGACCGGAGUGGACGCAUCACUGGUGUUCGGGUUGUCAUGCCAAUGGCACUGCCCGGUAGCUAAAUGCGGAAGAGAUAAGUGCUGAAAGCAUCUAAGCACGAAACUUGCCCCGAGAUGAGUUCUCCCUGAGACUUUAAGUCUCCUGAAGGAACGUUGAAGACGACGACGUUGAUAGGCCGGGUGUGUAAGCGCAGCGAUGCGUUGAGCUAACCGGUACUAAUGAACCGUGAGGCUUAACCUUACAACGCCGAAG
rnacentral:rRNA from 1 species